rnacentral:rRNA from 1 species
AGCUAAUAGAUACCCUGGUAGUCCACGCCCUAAACGAUGUCUACUAGUUGUUGGUGGAGUAAAAUCCAUGAGUAAACGCAGCUAACGCGUGAAGUAGACCGCCUGGGGAGUACGGUCGCAAGAUUAAAACUCAAAGGAAUUGACGGGGGCCCGCACAAGCGGUGGAUUAUGUGGAUUAAUUCGAUGCAACGCGAAAACCUUACCUGGCCUUGACAUGCCACUAACGAAGCAGAGAUGCAUUAGGUGCCCGUAAGGGAAAGUGGACACAGGUGCUGCAUGGCUGUCGUCAGUUCGUGUCGUGAGAUGUUGGGUUAAGUCCCGCAACGAGCGCAACCCUUGCCAUUAAUUGCCAUCAUUUAGUUGGGCACUUUAAUGGGACUGCCGGUGACAAACCGGAGGAAGGUGGGGAUGACGUCAAGUCCUCAUGGCCCUUAUGGCCAGGGCUUCACACGUAAUACAAUGGUCGGUACAGAGAGUUGCCAACCCGCAGGGGGAGCUAAUCUCAGAAAGCCGAUCGUAGUCCGGAUUGUUCUCUGC